rnacentral:rRNA from 1 species
UACGUAGGGUGCAAGCGUUGUCCGGAAUUAUUGGGCGUAAAGAGCUCGUAGGCGGUUUGUCGCGUCUGCUGUGAAAACUGGAGGCUCAACCUCCAGCCUGCAGUGGGUACGGGCAGACUAGAGUGCGGUAGGGGAGAGUGGAAUUCCUGGUGUAGCGGUGGAAUGCGCAGAUAUCAGGAGGAACACCGAUGGCGAAGGCAGAGCUCUGGGCCGUAACUGACGCUGAGGAGCGAAAGCGUGGGGAGCGAACAGG